CACACUAUCAUUACGUGAAUACAUAGCGUAAUGAAGCGAACCGGGGGAACUGAAACAUCUAAGUACCCCGAGGAAAAGAAAUCAACCGAGAUUCCCCCAGUAGCGGCGAGCGAACGGGGAGCAGCCCAGAGUCUGAAUCAGCUUGUGUGUUAGUGGAACGGUCUGGAAAGUCCGACGGUACAGGGUGAUAGUCCCGUACACCAAAAUGCACAGGUUGUGAACUCGAAGAGUAGGGCGGGACACGUGGUAUCCUGUCUGAAUAUGGGGGGACCAUCCUCCAAGGCUAAAUACUCCUGACUGACCGAUAGUGAACCAGUACCGUGAGGGAAAGGCGAAAAGAACCCCGGCGAGGGGAGUGAAAAAGAACCUGAAACCGUGUACGUACAAGCAGUGGGAGCCUCUUUAUGGGGUGACUGCGUACCUUUUGUAUAAUGGGUCAGCGACUUAUAUUCUGUAGCAAGGUUAACCGUAUAGGGGAGCCGAAGGGAAACCGAGUCUUAACUGGGCGUUAAGUUGCAGGGUAUAGACCCGAAACCCGGUGAUCUAGCCAUGGGCAGGUUGAAGGUUGGGUAACACUAACUGGAGGACCGAACCGACUAAUGUUGAAAAAUUAGCGGAUGACUUGUGGCUGGGGGUGAAAGGCCAAUCAAACCGGGAGAUAGCUGGUUCUCCCCGAAAGCUAUUUAGGUAGCGCCUCGUGAAUUCAUCUUCGGGGGUAGAGCACUGUUUCGGCUAGGGGGUCAUCCCGACUUACCAACCCGAUGCAAACUGCGAAUACCGAAGAAUGUUAUCACGGGAGACACACGGCGGGUGCUAACGUCCGUCGUGAAGAGGGAAACAACCCAGACCGCCAGCUAAGGUCCCAAAGUCAUGGUUAAGUGGGAAACGAUGUGGGAAGGCACAGACAGCCAGGAUGUUGGCUUAGAAGCAGCCAUCAUUUAAAGAAAGCGUAAUAGCUCACUGGUCGAGUCGGCCUGCGCGGAAGAUGUAACGGGGCUAAACCAUGCACCGAAGCUGCGGCAGCGACACUAUGUGUUGUUGGGUAGGGGAGCGUUCUGUAAGCCGUUGAAGGUGUANNNNNNNNNNNNNNNNNNNNNNNNNNNNNNNNNNNNNNNNNNNNNNNNNNNNNNNNNNNNNNNNNNNNNNNNNNNNNNNNNNNNNNNNNNNNNNNNNNNNUAGGGGAGCGUUCUGUAAGCCGUUGAAGGUGUACUGUGAGGUAUGCUGGAGGUAUCAGAAGUGCGAAUGCUGACAUAAGUAACGAUAAUGCGGGUGAAAAACCCGCACGCCGGAAGACCAAGGGUUCCUGUCCAACGUUAAUCGGGGCAGGGUGAGUCGACCCCUAAGGCGAGGCCGAAAGGCGUAGUCGAUGGGAAACAGGUUAAUAUUCCUGUACUUGGUGUUACUGCGAAGGGGGGACGGAGAAGGCUAUGUUAGCCGGGCGACGGUUGUCCCGGUUUAAGCAUGUAGGCGGAGGUUCCAGGUAAAUCCGGUACCUUUUAACGCUGAGGUGUGAUGACGAGGCACUACGGUGCUGAAGUAACAAAUGCCCUGCUUCCAGGAAAAGCCUCUAAGCAUCAGGUAACACGAAAUCGUACCCCAAACCGACACAGGUGGUCAGGUAGAGAAUACCAAGGCGCUUGAGAGAACUCGGGUGAAGGAACUAGGCAAAAUGGUGCCGUAACUUCGGGAGAAGGCACGCUGAUAUGUAGGUGAAGUGAUUUACUCAUGGAGCUGAAAUCAGUCGAAGAUACCAGCUGGCUGCAACUGUUUAUUAAAAACACAGCACUGUGCAAACACGAAAGUGGACGUAUACGGUGUGACGCCUGCCCGGUGCCGGAAGGUUAAUUGAUGGGGUUAUCCGUAAGGAGAAGCUCUUGAUCGAAGCCCCGGUAAACGGCGGCCGUAACUAUAACGGUCCUAAGGUAGCGAAAUUCCUUGUCGGGUAAGUUCCGACCUGCACGAAUGGCGUAAUGAUGGCCAGGCUGUCUCCACCCGAGACUCAGUGAAAUUGAACUCGCUGUGAAGAUGCAGUGUACCCGCGGCAAGACGGAAAGACCCCGUGAACCUUUACUAUAGCUUGACACUGAACACUGGUCCUUGAUGUGUAGGAUAGGUGGGAGGCUUUGAAGUGUGGACGCCAGUCUGCAUGGAGCCAUCCUUGAAAUACCACCCUUUAAUGGCUGGUGUUCUAACGUGGACCCGUAAUCCGGGUUGCGGACAGUGUCUGGUGGGUAGUUUGACUGGGGCGGUCUCCUCCUAAAGAGUAACGGAGGAGCACGAAGGUUAGCUAAUCCUGGUCGGACAUCAGGAGGUUAGUGCAAAGGCAUAAGCUAGCUUGACUGCGAGAGUGACGGCUCGAGCAGGUGCGAAAGCAGGUCUUAGUGAUCCGGUGGUUCUGAAUGGAAGGGCCAUCGCUCAACGGAUAAAAGGUACUCCGGGGAUAACAGGCUGAUACCGCCCAAGAGUUCAUAUCGACGGCGGUGUUUGGCACCUCGAUGUCGGCUCAUCACAUCCUGGGGCUGAAGUAGGUCCCAAGGGUAUGGCUGUUCGCCAUUUAAAGUGGUACGCGAGCUGGGUUUAGAACGUCGUGAGACAGUUCGGUCCCUAUCUGCCGUGGGCGCUGGAGAAUUGAGGGGGGCUGCUCCUAGUACGAGAGGACCGGAGUGGACGCAUCACUGGUGUUCGGGUUGUCAUGCCAAUGGCAUUGCCCGGUAGCUAAAUGCGGAAGAGAUAAGUGCUGAAAGCAUCUAAGCACGAAACUUGCCCCGAGAUGAGUUCUCCCUGAGACU
rnacentral:rRNA from 1 species